GAAAUGCCAGGAUUAAAACUGCACAUGAAACCUUUGUUCCCUGUUGGAGGAAGGACACUGUGGUAUGAUAUUCAAUUGCAGAAUCACAGGUUGUUUUGUCUGAGGAACCCCUACGUGUGUAGGGAACUGGUGAACUUGAACUCUACAAUUAUGGAUAGGUGGCCUUGUACUACUAGACCACUGAGUGCUACAAAUUUUAUCCAGACCAAAUGCGAGCACAUUUCAACAAUCUUUUCAGCCAAAGCUCACAAGAUGGCAUGAGAAUGCUUUGCACUCAUAUAGGGGACAUACAUGAGCUGUGGAAGGGCAGAGCACGGUUGACUCAUCGUGAAGUAAUUGAAGCACAGGCAGACUGCAUGAUACACAGUCUGCCAGAACAGUGUCACUUCACUUCUUCAAGAAGCCUUUGACACAGCAAAGUAUGCACUGUUUCAGCACAGUGCAUUAUGUGGCCAUGAUACUUUUACUCUUGUCCAAGAAUUGGACUUACCAUCUCAUAAAGUUGUAGACAAUAAACAAACAUGCUUAUUCUUACUGUCCUUAUUCCACGCCUGUUGGCACACCUUGUACCCUGCACACAAGCUGAGUCCCAUAGUGAACGCACAAAUGGUAUUUCUUCCUGGUACUCUCAACAUAGUACCAUACUGCAGGUCUCUGAGGUAAUAGGCCAGCUUAUGAAGCCAGCUCUGAGCAGUGCAUGUGUCCUACAGCCAUGAAAACACACUUAUUAUCUAUUGCAACUUUAAUGGACAUAUCAUCAGAAAAUUCUAAGAGGUUGUGGGGAAAGGAUAUUAACUUUAUUUUACACAUACAGGAUUGAGUCUUAGAAAUUAAAGGCUCUAACUCUUUCUGACUCGCCAACAUAGCCAAAGGAAGUGAUUUUUUUCCCCAGUUUUUCUCUGUUUACUACAACUAGCCAAUUGCAAUUUGUUAUCUUUCACACAAUGGAAUUCCUUAAGAUAAAAGCAUAAGCCAUUAUCUUGCCUAUUUAUCUAGCACAGAAUGUUGAUCAGCAGCACUUUCCCUCCGAUGUAAUUCUUUCUUGAGACAAGGAUGCUGGUGGAGACUGUCUCACAGCUGUGUCAACUCAUGGUCUCAGGAACAGGUUAAACCAUUAUACACCACGUGGCCAAUUGGAUUUCAUUCCUUAUUUCUCUUCUGACUGCAUGGCACAUACGUGUGAGGGCAUAAUAUAGCUCACUUCACCAUGGGAGGUGCUCCCCUGUAUUUCAGCUUUAAGGAGUGAAGGGUACCAUCCAGUUUUUACAAAUGAGAAUCAGAAGUUUAACAAAUGAAAUCAUCUGUCUCAGAUGCAGUCAUGGACCAAAAGUACUCCUCUGACCUGCAAGUCUUCUGUAUCUAUCCUUCUGACACUUACUAAAGGAAUACAAGCUCCAUCCAUUCUUUCAACUGGAAUAAUCAUUUAAAAAUGUCUUCAGGCAUCUUUCACAUCUUCUCCUCAAUCCUACUGAGGUCAAUUUAAGAACACACUGGCCCUUUUGUCCUACCUUAGCCCACAUGUCAAUUCAGAAAUCCUUUUAGUCACUUUCUUUGCCAGAGAGAAUCAUUCCAGAUUCCAUACUUUUAGCCCAAGAGUGAUUAUUGUAUUUUCAUGCUUGUUCCAGCACUGGGAUAGAGCCUCACAUCUCCUCCUGGACUCCCCUGUUCUCUUGGCUUAGUUUUGACUUUCCUUUCUUCUAUCUUCCCACACUGCAUCAUAAGCUGCACCUUUCUGUCUUUCCUCCUGGUGGCAUGAAAGAUAGUUCAGAAGACCAUACAACUACCUUUUAUUCUCCUACUUUCUGCAGGCUCUUCUGUCAAUGACAGCUAUGUCUGAUCAGCCACCCAGGCACUGUGUUGACCUCAUUAUGAACUUCACAGCUUAUGCAGAUGAGGUGUCAUCACAGAGCAGUAAAGAUUCUGGCUCUGACAUGACUUUGCCAUCUUUGAGAGCAGUCUUACUCCUUUACCUUUUGAUUAAUUCUCUUCUAAAUCCUUGUAGUCUCAAGCAAUAGAGCAGAAAAACGUCUCUGAGCUUUACAUUUUCUUUUUUCACAUUGUUUGUGCAGGCAUUUUUCUUUGGAUUCCCAGUGUGCUUUCCACUUCUGUUCUGCAACCCAGAUACAGUCUUUUGUGUAACUUUAUUUGGAUCCUUCACAACUUCCCAUAAUGAGGGAUCUUGCUAGGACAAUUAGGAACUGGAAGAAGCUAACUGAGCAGCACAGGCAAAUAUACCUUUUGCUCAGAGAGGAGAGGCACAUGUCAGAGCAGCAGGGAAGGAAAAACAGAAGAGAUGUCAGUAUGUUACUGCUUUCCUCAACACAAGCUAGAGGCAGAGAGAACAGGAGAAAGAAGCCUGAUACAAAGAAAAUACUUUGAAACUUCUUAGUGAAGAAUGGAAAGCCUCAGAGGAGAGAGUUUAAUGAGCAAAGUCCAGAGGUGGAUGUAGCUCUCAAGCCUGUCACCUUGGCGUCAUUAUUUCAGAAGUAUUUAGCUCUAUUCUCCAUACCAUUCUCAUGCCAUAGAGGAGGACUGAAUACAGUCACAAGGCCAGUCUUGGUUUCUGAAGGGCUGCAGCAUUCAUGAUGUUGUGUGAAUUAAGUUCCAUAAAGCUUCUACAGUAUUAAAAGCAAGAAAAGUAAAGAAAAGCAACAUCAAAACUUCACCCUAGUCCUCACAUGAGGUUUAUUAAUGUAGCUGGAGCAUUAGCUGCUCAUCAGCCUUUCACCACUUGAGAUAAAGGAGAAACUAUUCAAGUGGAAGAAAGAAGAAAGCCGUGAGCACCUAGUUUGCUAGGAAUUUCAAAACUGUGUGCUGAAUAUGAACAGAAUAACAUAGUUCAGUUAGAAGGGAUCCACAAAGAUCAUCAAAUCCAACUGCCUGACCACUGGAGAGCUAACCAGAAGUUAGAGCAUAUAACUGAGGGCAUGAGGAAGUAAAAGAUGCUUAACGAAGACACUCAGCAAGGAAAAUUUCAGCCUGAAUAAUACAAUUCAGGAAGGUUGUAAGAAACUUACAGGGGGAAAAAAAAAGUAGAAUCUUGUAAUGGAAAUAAUUGUGCAACCUUAUUUGUGGGUAAAGAUAGGUAUUGCUGCCUAGGAUGAACACAGCUGAGAGGCUACCUUCUCAUAUAAAAAUGGCAGAGCUGCAACACAGCUGCAACCAAAUGGUAUCAUUUGAGGCUGCAUUCCUGAAUAGCUUUAGCAAACAUAGAAUACCAAAGAUUAGGAAAAACAAUGUAGAUUAAAAGCACAAUGAAGUAAAGGUAAGUUCAGAGAACACAUGUAUUUUCUAUACAUUUUUACAGGCUGUGUGAUUGCACCUUAUAGUUCCUAGAGCAGGGCAGGGCUAUAUUUUUGCUUUUGGUGCAGAACAGAUAUAAAAAGUGCAGAGAUUUAGUUUCUAGGUCAUAAUGCAAGCUGUCGCACAUUCCUCUUUCUGCCUUUCAAAGGGUGAUGACUCUCCACUUUUACUGAAGUUCUACUAAACUCCUUUUAACUAUGCAUGCAUGCUCUUUUAGCUGGAUUAAGUAAAGGCAACGCCAGUCAGGAGUCACAUAGUCCUAUUUAUUAUCCUCUUCAGUGACUGUUUACAAAUAAACUCUUAUUAAGACACUUGAUACAGUCUUUAUCAGUUUCCACCCAAGUUACCAUAGCUGCAUAAUUAAACAGGUCUGAGGCGUAAAAUGCGUUUGAAUUAAUGUUUGGGCUCUUUGCUACAAUUUUUUCAUUAAAUGACUCAUAUUGAUCAAACCCUGCAAUUACUGUAACACUUUUCAUCUCCCUAGACAUGAAAAUGUGGUGCAUAAUUGGUCACCCUAAACAUGAGUGCUGUACUUGAAAUGUUUAAAAUCAUAUAACAUCUUUUAUAUGGAUACAGUGGGGUUUGAAUAUGUCUUUAAAUUUUUCCAGUAGCUAUAAGUAUGUGAUGGUUCUUUGUAUUUCUUGUCUUUUUCCUUCUCUCUCAAAAUGUAUUUCUCUUCAAGCUUGUUCUAACAGACACCCUGACGUGUUAUAAUGAAUUAAUCAAUAUUGUAUCUUUGCACAAAGAAAACAAGUUUUACAUUUUAUCUUAGAUCACAUCCACCUUUAGAAGUAAGAUGCUAAUUGAGGCUUUAAUUUGCUGCUCCAAGUUCCUAGCUAGGUUCACAGCCCGGUUAUUCCACAGGAGCCACAAGUGAAGAUCUAUGCUAACAAGACAAAAUUGUUUAUUUUAAAGUAGGCUGUGCUCCUGUGAGCAUGAGCAGGAAAGGCUGAUUGCUAACACAGCCCAAAAGCCUGUAUAGCAAAGCAAAACAAAGCCCACUGUGGAUCACAAAUGGAGAGAUUCCGCAAAGAGCAGCUCUCAGAUUUCAGUGCCAUCAAGAUUAGCCUUUGAGACACUUGAAGAAGAGCAGAAUAAAUCCUCUUCCCUCAGUGCCUGCCCAGGGAAAGAUUCGUUUCUGGUGCAAUGUUUCUCUGUACCUGGGUGUACACAGAUGGCUUAAAAGAUCUUCUACAUAGAGUAUAGAACAGGAUUUUGCUUCCUGUCCCCAAGAAUAUGUGACAGUGACUCUAAGAGGCCAGCAGGGUCAGUUUGAAGUGUCAUAGCCUGACUCCGAUCAUAGAAUCACAGAGUCAUAGAAUAUCCCAUAAGGAUCAUAGAGCCCAACUCCUGACUCUACAUAGGACCACACAAAAAAUAAAACUCUGUGUCUAAAAGCAGUGUUCAAACACUCCUUGAACACUGGCAGCUUGGGAGCCUGUUCUAGGGUCCACAGCUCCUGCUGGUCUGCUGGUGAAGAACCUUUUCCUAACUCCCACCCCGACCUCCCCUAACACAGUUUCAUGCCAUUCCCUCAGGUUCUGUCAACUCUUGAAGAACUUUUUAUCUGUGGUGGUUUACUGAUGCCAACUGCGAAAUCAAAACUAUAUGUGCAACAAUUCAGUAGACAACUUCACCCAAGCAUUAGAACUGACAUAUUCCUAGAUCUCUUUAGGGGAAAGCUUUUUCAGUGACAUUGUGUUUUCUUGACUCAAGGAUUGUGAAGUAUGUGCAUUUGGUUUAGUGGCCUCAGAGGAUUUCUGCAAGGACGCAAGGUAACUGCAGGACACAACUCAACCUAGUAUUUCAUUCCUUCUAUGCUUUGUCCUUCUUCAGGAAACCCGGGACACCUCAAAUGCUUGUGGGAGAUGCUCAGAUGCCAGUGUACUGGCUUCAUUCUCCUUGUGACUUGUGCAUCACUGGCACUGCUGCCAACAGCAAGCUGCUAGGUGCCACCACGUUUGCUUCAGCAGUCACUGUUUUUCUCUCCAGCAAAACAGCACAACCCAUCUGCAUAUCAGAUAAUCUGUCAGUGCCUCUGGCUUUUUAACUACCUCAUGGAGUCACUCCUUUAUGUGCUACUGCACAGGUCUACCCAUGACUCCUGAAAACACACUGCUUUCUUUGUUCUAAACAAGUUUUUGAACUUUGGUAUGUUUAUACAAAAAAGACAACGGAAAUACAGGACCAACUCCCUGAAUAUAUUUAAGCCACAGCAUGUCAUGGGGAUCAGAAAAUCCUUCUUUGGCGCAACCAUUCACCAAACAGCACCUACCAUCAGACUCUAUUUUUCAGUUUCCUGCAGCUUACAGUUAAAGCAAACUCCCACAGACUUCCACCAAGGUCCUGCCAGUGUAAGGCCAUCCUUUUUCAGAGUAAUCCUACAGCAACAGCAAGAAGAGAUUUGUUAGGAAAAAACCUAGGCAGGGAUUUUCUUCCUUAAAUAAUUAGGUAAUUCGCAAUAGCAUUCUCUGUGGCGUUUAUUAAAAUGCCAUGACUCAGACAUAGCUGUGAGAAUGCUAAGGAGAUGAUUUGCGUUUCUGUUAGUAGCACUGAUUUGUGUGCUUGGGAUUUGCUCUUUGCAGGGUCAGAACAAUUAAGAGUCUUUACCUUCACCAUUUACAUCUAGCCAGGUUCACUUUUUCAGUAUGUUUUUCUAUCCAGCGAAAUGGAAAAGUCUUAAGUUAAAGCAUACUAUUUGGAAAUCAAGAAGGAAAGCAUAUUGGAUUUUCUGUCUUUAUAGAAUCGUAGCUAAGUUACACUAAAGUUUUGACCUUGUAUUCAGGAUAGUACCAUAAACAAAUGGGUGAGUAUAUGCAUGGUCAUAGCACACAGCUGCUUUAAGUAUAUUUUGAGCCUCAGUGUGACACUGUGGGGUGCUGACUAGCUUGUAAGAUACUGGAUUACUAGAAUCAGCACUCACUUGCAGAUUCAGAACCUGAGACCUGAUCCUUAAAGGCAUUGUUUUGCUGAUGAGGGCACAUUUCAUUUUUUUUUAAAACGGACACAACUUUUCUUGUAUUAAAAAAUGCAAGAAUGUCUUAGAAUUGUUAGGUCGACUGUUUGGGCUCACUUAAGACUGAAACAGACUAAAACUAAAAUAAUAUGAGGGCUGCUCC